GAUGAACGCUAGCGGCAGGCUUAAUACAUGCAAGUCAAGGGGGUAGCAAUACAACCGGCGCACGGGUGAGUAACGCGUACACAACAUGCCAUAUACUGGGGUAUAGCUUUGGGAAACUGAAGGUAAUCCCCCAUAACAUUGCGAGAGGGCAUCUGAUUGCAAUUAAAGUUUCGGCGGUAUAUGAUUGGUGUGCGUUUGAUUAGCUAGUUGGUAGGGUAACGGCCUACCAAGGCGACGAUCAAUAGCUGGCGUGAGAGCGCGACCAGCCACACUGGAACUGAGACACGGUCCAGACUCCUACGGGAGGCAGCAGUAGGGAAUAUUGGACAAUGGAGGAAACUCUGAUCCAGCCAUGCCGCGUGAUAGAUGAAGGCCCUCUGGGUUGUAAAUAUCUUUUAUCUGGGAGAAACUCCUCUAUUCUUAGAGGCCUGACGGUACCAGAGGAAUAAGCACCGGCUAACUCCGUGCCAGCAGCCGCGGU
rnacentral:rRNA from 1 species